UACGAAGGGAGCUAGCGUUGUUCGGAAUUACUGGGCGUAAAGCGCACGUAGGCGGGCUCUUAAGUCAGGGGUGAAAUCCCGAGGCUCAACCUCGGAACUGCCUUUGAUACUGAGAGCCUCGAGUCCGGAAGAGGUGAGUGGAAUUCCUAGUGUAGAGGUGAAAUUCGUAGAUAUUAGGAAGAACACCAGUGGCGAAGGCGGCUCACUGGUCCGGUACUGACGCUGAGGUGCGAAAGCGUGGGGAGCAAACAGG
rnacentral:rRNA from 1 species